GAUGAACGCUGGCGGCGUGCCUAAUACAUGCAAGUCGAGCGAACAGACGAGGAUCUUGCUCCUCUGACGUUUGCGGCGGACGGGUGAGUAACACGUGGAUAACCUACCUAUAAGACUGGGAUAACUUCGGGAAACCGGAGCUAAUACCGGAUAAUAUAUUGAACCGCAUGGUUCAAUAGUGAAUGACGGUUUUGCUGUCACUUAUAGAUGGAUCCGCGCCGCAUUAGCUAGUUGGUAAGGUAACGGCUUACCAAGGCAACGAUGCGUAGCCGACCUGAGAGGGGGAUCGGCCACACUGGAACUGAGACACGGACCAGACUACUACGGGAGGCAGCAGUAGGGAAUCUUCCGCAAUGGGCGAAAGCCUGACGGAGCAACGCCGCGUGAGUGAUGAAGGUCUUCGGAUCGUUAAACUCUGUUAUUAGGGAAGAACAAAUGUGUAAGUAACUAUGCACGUCUUGACGGUACCUAAUCAGAAAGCAACGGCUAACUACGUG
rnacentral:rRNA from 1 species